UCCGGUUGAUCCUGCCGGAGGCUACCGCUAUUGGAGUUCGAUUAAGCCAUGCGAGUCGCGAGAAAUUAGAUUCUCGGCGUACCGCUCAGUAACACGUGGGUAACCUGCCCUAUGCUGGAUAAUAACCUCGGGAAACUGAGAAUAAUGAUCCAUAGUUCACUACGCCUGGAACGGUGAGUGGAUGAAAGCUCCGGCGGCAUAGGAUGGGCCUGCGGCGUAUCAGGUUGUAGGGGGUGUAACGUACCCUCUAGCCCUCUACGCGUACGGGUGUUGGGAGACAUAGCCCGGAGAUGGAUUCUGAGACACGAAUCCAGACCCUACGGGGUGCAGCAGGCGCGAAAACUUGGCAAUGCGAGAAAUCGUGACCAGGGAACUCCAAGUGCAUCGGGUAAGACCGGUGCUUUUCUUGACUCUAAAUAGGUCUUGGAAUAAGGGGUGGGUAAGGACGGUGCCAGCCGCCGCGGUAAUACCGGCGCCUCAAGUGGUAGUCGCUUUUAUUGGGCCUAAAACGUCCGUAGCCGGUCUGAUACAUUCGUGGGUAAAUCAACCAGCUCAACUGGUUGAAUUCUGCGAGGACGGUCAGACUUGGGACCGGGAGAGGUGUGGGGUACGCUCAGGGUAGGGGUAAAAUCCUGUCAUCCUGAGCGGACCACCUGUUGCGAAGGCGCCACACUAGAACGGAUCCGACGGUCAGGGACG
rnacentral:rRNA from 1 species